GGGUUGUGAGGUUAAGCGACUAAGCGUACACGGUGGAUGCCCUGGCAGUCAGAGGCGAUGAAGGACGUGCUAAUCUGCGAUAAGCGUCGGUAAGGUGAUAUGAACCGUUAUAACCGGCGAUUUCCGAAUGGGGAAACCCAGUGUGAUUCGUCACACUAUCAUUAACUGAAUCCAUAGGUUAAUGAGGCGAACCGGGGGAACUGAAACAUCUAAGUACCCCGAGGAAAAGAAAUCAACCGAGAUUCCCCCAGUAGCGGCGAGCGAACGGGGAGCAGCCCAGAGCCUGAAUCAGUGUGUGUGUUAGUGGAAGCGUCUGGAAAGGCGUGCGAUACAGGGUGACAGCCCCGUACACAAAAAUGCACAUACUGUGAGCUCGAUGAGUAGGGCGGGACACGUGGUAUCCUGUCUGAAUAUGGGGGGACCAUCCUCCAAGGCUAAAUACUCCUGACUGACCGAUAGUGAACCAGUACCGUGAGGGAAAGGCGAAAAGAACCCCGGCGAGGGGAGUGAAAAAGAACCUGAAACCGUGUACGUACAAGCAGUGGGAGCACGCUUAGGCGUGUGACUGCGUACCUUUUGUAUAAUGGGUCAGCGACUUAUAUUCUGUAGCAAGGUUAACCGAAUAGGGGAGCCGAAGGGAAACCGAGUCUUAACUGGGCGUUAAGUUGCAGGGUAUAGACCCGAAACCCGGUGAUCUAGCCAUGGGCAGGUUGAAGGUUGGGUAACACUAACUGGAGGACCGAACCGACUAAUGUUGAAAAAUUAGCGGAUGACUUGUGGCUGGGGGUGAAAGGCCAAUCAAACCGGGAGAUAGCUGGUUCUCCCCGAAAGCUAUUUAGGUAGCGCCUCGUGAAUUCAUCUCCGGGGGUAGAGCACUGUUUCGGCAAGGGGGUCAUCCCGACUUACCAACCCGAUGCAAACUGCGAAUACCGGAGAAUGUUAUUACGGGAGACACACGGCGGGUGCUAACGUCCGUCGUGAAGAGGGAAACAACCCAGACCGCCAGCUAAGGUCCCAAAGUCAUGGUUAAGUGGGAAACGAUGUGGGAAGGCCCAGACAGCCAGGAUGUUGGCUUAGAAGCAGCCAUCAUUUAAAGAAAGCGUAAUAGCUCACUGGUCGAGUCGGCCUGCGCGGAAGAUGUAACGGGGCUAAACCAUGCACCGAAGCUGCGGCAGCGACGCUUAUGCGUUGUUGGGUAGGGGAGCGUUCUGUAAGCCUGUGAAGGUGUGCUGUGAGGUAUGCUGGAGGUAUCAGAAGUGCGAAUGCUGACAUAAGUAACGAUAAAGCGGGUGAAAAGCCCGCUCGCCGGAAGACCAAGGGUUCCUGUCCAACGUUAAUCGGGGCAGGGUGAGUCGACCCCUAAGGCGAGGCCGAAAGGCGUAGUCGAUGGGAAACAGGUUAAUAUUCCUGUACUUGGUGUUACUGCGAAGGGGGGACGGAGAAGGCUAUGUUGGCCGGGCGACGGUUGUCCCGGUUUAAGCGUGUAGGCUGGUUUUCCAGGCAAAUCCGGAAAAUCAAGGCCGAGGCGUGAUGACGAGGCACUACGGUGCUGAAGCAACAAAUGCCCUGCUUCCAGGAAAAGCCUCUAAGCAUCAGGUAACAUCAAAUCGUACCCCAAACCGACACAGGUGGUCAGGUAGAGAAUACCAAGGCGCUUGAGAGAACUCGGGUGAAGGAACUAGGCAAAAUGGUGCCGUAACUUCGGGAGAAGGCACGCUGAUACGUAGGUGAAGCGACUUGCUCGUGGAGCUGAAAUCAGUCGAAGAUACCAGCUGGCUGCAACUGUUUAUUAAAAACACAGCACUGUGCAAACACGAAAGUGGACGUAUACGGUGUGACGCCUGCCCGGUGCCGGAAGGUUAAUUGAUGGGGUUAGCGCAAGCGAAGCUCUUGAUCGAAGCCCCGGUAAACGGCGGCCGUAACUAUAACGGUCCUAAGGUAGCGAAAUUCCUUGUCGGGUAAGUUCCGACCUGCACGAAUGGCGUAAUGAUGGCCAGGCUGUCUCCACCCGAGACUCAGUGAAAUUGAACUCGCUGUGAAGAUGCAGUGUACCCGCGGCAAGACGGAAAGACCCCGUGAACCUUUACUAUAGCUUGACACUGAACAUUGAGCCUUGAUGUGUAGGAUAGGUGGGAGGCUUUGAAGUGUGGACGCCAGUCUGCAUGGAGCCGACCUUGAAAUACCACCCUUUAAUGUUUGAUGUUCUAA
rnacentral:rRNA from 1 species